UAUUGUUGUGAUUUAUUAAACAAAAUGAAGUGGAAGCCAUUUAUAAACUGCAUCUUCAACCAAAACAAUAGCCCACUUUUGCCAACAGUGGGUUAAACUGCAUGAGGAAGAAGAGGUCGGAGUGAAAAUCCAAAUAAUCCAGACUAACUACACUGUCCUCGUGUAUUUCCGUUACCUAGUUUCCUAAAACAAAAUAACGAGGCACAACACAAACACUAGCCUAAAUAAAUCAGCUAUUUGGGAGAAAACAGCUACAAAUGAGCAGACAAAGUUACUGUAUCCUACCUUCUCCAUAAGACCAAUCAGAGGCAGUUGCUAGGCGGAACAGAAUCACGUGGCCAACUGGCGUUCUUUCUGCCGGUGUUGGCUUGCGUGUUUCGUCAUCGGUCAUGACCUGGGAGGAGCGCAGAGAGGCGGAGAAAUGAAGUCGGAAAGCAGAUGAAAGUCAACGUUCAAACCGUUGCCUCGGUUUAUCAGUACUGUUAGAUAACCUAGCUACCGAAGAAACCUGGAUACUUAAACAAGCUUUGGAGCUGCUUUUUUGUCGAACACGAGUGAGUCUGGACGCGGAAUACACAUGCAGCGAGAAGGUGUCACCACUUCGUCCACCACGUAGUUCACGAUCACAGAGGUGUCGUCCACGAUCGGUGAGACAUGGUCCAUGAUCGGAGAGACAUUGUUGAGGAUGAGGGAGACAUCGUCCACGAUCAGAGACGUUGUCCAUGAUUGCAGAGACCUUGUCAAAGAUGAGAGAGACGUUGUCCAUGAUCAGAGACAUUGUCCCAUGCUUCGUAGAGACCUUGCGAUAGAAUCGGCGGAGACGGGGGUCACCGAUUUGACGGCAUUGCCCGCGAUCAUGGAGACAUUGUCAAUGGUCACAGAGACAGCAUCUAUGAUCUCUGAGACAUCGUCCACGAUCUCAAAGACACUGUCCAUGAUCGCAGAGACUUUGUCCAUAAUCUCAGAGACAUUGUCCACGAUCACAGAGACGUAGUCCACGAUCACAGAGACAUAAUCCACAAUCACAGUCUUCAUACAAUGAAGAAGUUCUUUGAUACCAGGACAGAGGCCUCCAGGUGUCACCACUUCGUCCACCACGUAGUUCACGAUCACAGAGGUGUCGUCCACGAUCGGUGAGACAUGGUCCAUGAUCGGAGAGACAUUGUUGAGGAUGAGGGAGACAUCGUCCACGAUCAGAGACGUUGUCCAUGAUUGCAGAGACCUUGUCAAAGAUGAGAGAGACGUUGUCCAUGAUCAGAGACAUUGUCCCAUGCUUCGUAGAGACCUUGCGAUAGAAUCGGCGGAGACGGGGGUCACCGAUUUGACGGCAUUGCCCGCGAUCAUGGAGACAUUGUCAAUGGUCACAGAGACAGCAUCUAUGAUCUCUGAGACAUCGUCCACGAUCUCAAAGACACUGUCCAUGAUCGCAGAGACUUUGUCCAUAAUCUCAGAGACAUUGUCCACGAUCACAGAGACGUAGUCCACGAUCACAGAGACAUAAUCCACAAUCAGUCUUCAUACAAUGAAGAAGUUCUUUGAUACCAGG